UGGGGAAUAUUGCACAAUGGGCGCAAGCCUGAUGCAGCCAUGCCGCGUGUAUGAAGAAGGCCUUCGGGUUGUAAAGUACUUUCAGCGGGGAGGAAGGGAGUAAAGUUAAUACCUUUGCUCAUUGACGUUACCCGCAGAAGAAGCACCGGCUAACUCCGUGCCAGCAGCCGCGGUAAUACGGAGGGUGCAAGCGUUAAUCGGAAUUACUGGGCGUAAAGCGCACGCAGGCGGUUUGUUAAGUCAGAUGUGAAAUCCCCGGGCUCAACCUGGGAACUGCAUCCGAUACUGGCAAGCUUGAGUCUCGUAGAGGGGGGUAGAAUUCCAGGUGUAGCGGUGAAAUGCGUAGAGAUCUGGAGGAAUACCGGUGGCGAAGGCGGCCCCCUGGACAAAGACUGACGCUCAGGUGCGAAAGCGUGGGGAGCAAACAGG
rnacentral:rRNA from 1 species